AGAGUCUGGUUGUCAUAAAUGUGACAGUGAAGUGUGCCUGGCCUCUCUCCUGAUCCAGUGUGAUCAGAUUCAUGUGUCAUGUUAAAUGUGUGUUUGGAACAGAGCAGCUCUGGACUCAUUUGUUCUUCUGGAUUUACUGCUCUGAAUCACAAACAAUCCAACUAAACACACGAGUCACAAGAAUAAACUCACAGACACUGUUUCUAUUGUGUUCAGGCCUCAGCUUUGCUCUGAUCCCACACUGAACCAUUUUAGGGUCUGGUCCAAAGGUCAAAGGUCACUGUGUGAGUUUGUGUAUGUGCUGCGUCUGCUCCAGCUCUGCUCUCUGUAGUGCUCACAUGUAUUUAUCUAUCAGCUGACCUCAUCUAGGACCAGUGUUGUAGUUGGUCUGAAUGUAGACACUGUUUUUAUUUAGAUGUUUUAAGCAAACACAUGGAUCUCUCUGUUGUGUGAACCAUCUAAAGCCUCAUGGACACUUUGAGCUUCUGUGAAAAUGAGACACAUGUCAUAAAAGCAGGGGCCCUCAAACUGACCCUGAGAGACCCCUGCUGUAUAGUGAAGGGAAGGUGACAUACUGUUCACUUGAAUGCUCUACUGUCUGUCUGAUAUACAGCACUGUACCCUUUUGCCUGAAUAAUCAAUCAAAUUAAAUUAAGUAGUGUUCAGUAAUGGUCAGUAGUGGUCAGUAGUGGUCAGUAGUGGUCAGUAGUGGUCAGUAGUGGUCAGUAGUGGUCAGUAGGGGGCAGUAGUGUGAGCUGUGUGUCUGUCUCCUCUGACUGUGUGACUUUGCAUAUGUGUGCUGCCUCUCUGCUCCAGCCGUUAAGAGCCCAGUGCUGCUCAGUGUGUGUGCGGGCCCUUCAGAGCCACUCCCACACCAACAACACAAUGAGCCUGAUGUCCCUGCAGCUGUUCCUGCUGGCCCUGGGGCUCCUGGUUCGGGGUUCUUCAGGAGAAAUCAGCCUGACUCAGACUCCUAAAGCUGCAGCUGUGGACAAAGGAGCCUCUGUUACUCUCAGGUGUCAGACUAGUACAGGUAUUUCUAAUUGUCUGCAACUGGUAUCUCCAGAAAGGCACAGAACCUCCAAAGCUCCUCAUAUAUGACACAACAAAUCGUCACUCUGGAAUCUCCAGUCGUUUCAGUGGAAGUGGUUCAGGAUCUGAUUAUUCUCUGACCAUCAGUGGAUUUGAGGCUGAAGAUGCAGGAGUUUAUUACUGUCAGCAGGGUUACAGCUUCCCGUUCACACAGUGAAAAAGACUCGUACAAAAACCUCCUCAGACUGAACUGAAACUGACUCACUUAGUUUGACACAGAUGCUGCAGAUACUUAACACUCAUAUUCAUUAUCUGAUCAUUUUCUUUAAGUUUUAAUUGUGUUUGAUAAAAUAAAUUAAUACAUUAAUACAUUAAAAUAAAUACAUAAUAAUAACAACAUUAUUCAUCGCAGAGACAGAGUCAAUUAAAAUUUAAGAUUAAAUGAAGAGCAGCUAAAAAUAAAAGCCACUUUCAGAGACUCAGGGACAAACUGAAGCGUGUUUACUCUGAAACAAAGAUUUGUCCCAUUUCCCUGAUGAAUAUAUUCAUGGAUUUAUUCACAACAUUCAGGAUUUAUAAACAACAGGGAGUUUGUGCUUGUUGAGUAAGAUUAGUGUAUGAAGCUGUGUUCUGUUCUAAGUGUUUGCAGAGGAAGAGUGUGUUGGGGAGAGUUUGAGGAGUGCAGGGACCUGAAGUGUGGGAAACCGGAGACUCACUCACCAGUCCUCCCACUCCUACUGAUGAGCUGGAGCUUUUGGGUGAACAGGACAUGAUUUUAAGAAAUGACCAGGCUGGCCACGAUAGACACACUCACCUGCAGUCAUUCUCCUGUGACGUUCUCCUGUGGACAAGCGAGUCCGGCCCACUUACACCGGGGCUGGAAGUGCAGGCACAGAUGGAGUGGUGAAUUCAGGAGUUCUGACAGGUGGAGGAAUCUGUGUCAAACAUGACAAAGAUGUUACAAAAACCUGCAGGUAUUUCAACAAUUAAACAUGACUAACAUCAGUAGGAUUUAAUAAAGUUGAUGCACUCCUGUUUUCAACAUCUGCACUUAAAAAUGUCAAACUCGGUGCUGUCAGAUUUGUUUCCAUA